rnacentral:rRNA from 1 species
UACGUAGGGUGCAAGCGUUGUCCGGAAUUAUUGGGCGUAAAGAGCUCGUAGGCGGUUUGUUGCGUCGGCUGUGAAAUCCCGAGGCUCAACCUCGGGUCUGCAGUCGAUACGAGCAAACUAGAGUGUUGCAGGGGAGACUGGAAGUUCCUGGUGUAGCGGUGAAAUGCGCAGAUAUCAGGAGGAACACCGGUGGCGAAGGCGGGUUCUGCUGGGCAUUACCUGACGGCUGAGGAGCGAAAGUGUGGGGAGCGAACAGG